rnacentral:lncRNA from 1 species
AUCACCUUCCUCGUACCAAGCCCAGCGUUGUACACCUCCCUUGACCACCCUAUGACCACCCUUGACCACCCAGCAACCACCCUAACGCCGCCGUCAGAAAUCGCCUCACCGCGGCGGCCGGUCACCAAACAACCCCAACAUUACACCACCGGACAACCAUGACACCCUCUUCCCCUUCCUGUAGUUGGUUUCUUUUGAACAAACACUGAUCUACUCAAAUAUUCAAAACAAGGUUCGCCGGAACUACCGUCUCCGGUGACCCAAUCUCAAACUGCCCCAAAUUUUCACCAUAAGACCACCCAGACCUCCCCUUGCACGUCCUGAAAUCCGUUCCCUUCAAAAAACUCUCCAUCGUCUCGAAUCUUCAAAAGAAGGAUCGCCGGAACCACCGUCUCCGGCGACCCAACCCCAAACCCGUCCAAAGUUACACCCUGAAUCAUCUCAUCUUCUUCCUUCCAACAAUCCUUAUCACACCUUUCGAAUCCAAGUGAAACAGCUCGAAUAUCAAUUUUAAGUUUACCCUAAAAACCUAAAUCCCACCGGAUUCUGGCCAAACUGGCCUCAAAUAAUCCCCUUCCAGCCCUCUCCCCAACCAUGCCAUCCACAGCCCUCAAACCCUACUAACCACCAAGAAAAUUCAGAUCUGAUACCUCACUUGGUCUCAGAAUCACAAACCCCCUUUCCUAAACCCUUAGCCCUCUCCGGUACUCAAGGAAAAAUGCCCCAAAGGUUUUAAUACCUCUCAAAAGAAGCUAGAAAUUCAUGGAAUUGGAAGAACAUCAAUUAAGGGUUGCAUGCGCACACAAAAUCUAAGUACCCUGUUUUCAUUUUCUACAUAAGUCUUUUCUUUAAUUGUUGUUUAGUGUUAACUUUUACAUGUUCGCCAUGGCCUCAUUCUGAAAUAUGCUUAUUAUGUCCUAUGUCUUCUUUGGAUGUCACUUGUGGAUUCAUUCCUUCUAUAAUCUUCUGAGUUGUUAUACAUUUGAAAUUUCACAUAACUAGUUGAUCUUUGACUCUUGGCUCUGAAAUUUUACAUGAUUUAUGGAUCUUUGCCUAUUGAUUUGUCACUUGCUUUACCUUUGAAAUUUUGAAUGGAUAUUGAUCCUUGUCUCCUAUUUUUCAUUUGUUUCACCCAGAGAUCGUGAUUAGUUUUGGACCCUACUUGUGCUGCGUCAUGUUUCUGAGUAGUUGUUUUCACUUUAGAAUCUCAUAGUAACUUUAAUCUACAAUAUUUGCAUGUAUUAG